CCUACGAGUGGCAGCAGUGGGGAAUAUUGCACAAUGGGGGAAACCAUGAUGCAGCGACGCCGCGUGAGUGAAGAAGUAAUUCGUUACGUAAAGCUCUAUCAGCAGGGAAGAAAUACUGACCUUACGGUCAGCAGACGGUACCUGAGUCAGAAGCCCCGGCUAAAUACGUGCCAGCAGCCGCGGUAAUACGUAGGGGGCAAGCGUUAUCAGGAUUUAAUGGGUUUAAAGGGAGCGGAGACGAUGUGCCACGUAUGCUGUGAAAUGCCGCAGCUUAACUGCGGAACUGCAUUGGAAACUGGUGAACUAGAGUGCGGGAGGAGUAAGCGGAAUUCCUAGUGUAGCGGUGAAAUGCGUAGAUAUUAGGAGGAACACCGGUGGCGAAGGCGGCUUACUGGACCGUAACUGACGUUGAGGCUCGAAAGCGUGGGGAGCAAACAGGAUUAGAUACCCGGGUAGUC
rnacentral:rRNA from 1 species